GACGAACGCUGGCGGCGUGCUUAACACAUGCAAGUCGAACGGAAAGGCCCUGCUUGCAGGGUACUCGAGUGGCGAACGGGUGAGUAACACGUGGGUGAUCUGCCCUGCACUUCGGGAUAAGCCUGGGAAACUGGGUCUAAUACCGGAUAGGAGCCAUUUUUAGUGUGAUGGUUGGAAAGUUUUUUCGGUGUAGGAUGAGCUCGCGGCCUAUCAGCUUGUUGGUGGGGUAAUGGCCUACCAAGGCGGCGACGGGUAGCCGGCCUGAGAGGGUGGACGGCCACAUUGGGACUGAGAUACGGCCCAGACUCCUACGGGAGGCAGCGGUGGGGAAUAGUGCACAAUGGGCGCAAGCCUGAUGCAGCGACGCCGCGGGGGGGAUGACGGCCUUCGGGUUGUAAACUCCUUUCGCUAGGGACGAAGCUUUUUGUGACGGUACCUAGAUAAGAAGCACCGGCUAACUACGUG
rnacentral:rRNA from 1 species